ensembl:lncRNA
UGCCCUAAAAUGGAUGAAAAUCAUUUGGUUGAAGGGGAGGUGUGGCCAAUCAGCUCCCUAUAAAAUGACUGGUCCUGUCCUGUCAGCUCAGAGAUCAGAGGCCUCCUCCAAGACUCCAACAACCUCAAGAUUCAGCCUACCUGCUGACCAAUCAACACCAGCCUUUGGGCCAGUAUCCUACCUGCGGACCAAUCAACACCAGCCUUUGGGCCAGUAUCCUACCUGCGGACCAAUCAACACCAACCUUUGGGCCAGUAUCCUACCUGCUGACCAAUCAACACCAGCCUUUGGGCCAGUAUCCUACCUGCGGACCAAUCAACACCAGCCUUUGGGCCAGUAUCCUACCUGCGGACCAAUCAACACCAACCUUUGGGCCAGUAUCCUACCUGCUGACCAAUCAACACCAACCUUUGGGCCAGUAUCCUACCUGCGGACCAAUCAACACCAACCUUUGGACCGGUAUCCAGCUCACCAGCCUCUUUCCAGUCAUGGCGUCUGCUGGCCUGCUGUUCCUGCUGAUGAUGUCGUCCUCCCUCCUCCUCUCCAGCCUGGGUGAUCCGUCGCUCUCCAGCCAGCCGGGCGCCCACUCUCUACAGAAGAGGGGCAAAAAGACAGAGCGUUUCUUUACUGCUGUAGAUUACAUUGAGAAGGUUGGAAAGGCAGUGGGACCUUUUAUUGGGCUCAUACCGGUUGCUGGACCUUAUAUGAAUCUUAUUUUUCAUUUUGCAGCAGCAGCUUCGUUAGCCAAUCCUAGAGAUGAAACUGAAUUGAUCAAGAAAGAAUUUGAAAAUCUAAAUGUAAAGCUUGACAAACAACAACUGGAGACUAAAUGGGAUAUCUGGGCAACCAGUUACUAUGCAUAUGAGAAGAAAUUCGUGGUAGCCUGGGAGGCUUUAAAAAAUCAUCUGAUUGAGUGUACUAACUCAGACAAAGAAAAAAGGGAUACUCUUGAAAAGAAUUUCAAAAAAAACUAUGAGUUUAUUGCACGCGACACUAAAGAGAUGCUUCAAGCUUUUAAAAAGAAAGAUAACAAAGUUUCUUUCGGGACUGAGUUUGGAGGACUACUGAGUGCCCAUGUUAGAUGUCAUGAAAAGAAGAUCAAAGACUUCACUAUGCUGAUUUAUAGUCUUGUACACAAGGCCAACACCGUCAGUCAUUUCAUAUAUGGCCUCAAAAAGAUUGACCGAGUAAGUGAGCUAGCUGAAAACGCAUAUGAUUCUGCAGUAGUAAUGUUCGACAUUCACAAAAAAUGCAUUUCUGAUGCUGAUAAAUACAUUAAACUGGACAUUCAGGAGCAGAUUACUAAAAUCGAACAAAAAAAGAAACCAUUAGCAAAGACAAUCAGGUUGUUUUUGGAAAAAAUGUUUGACAGGUAUAACUGGAUAGUUGUUGCCUUCCAAAACCCCAAACAUGAAAAGCAAACGUAUCGAAACACUCACUUUUUAUCUGAAACAUUUAUUGAGGUGAAAACAGUGGGCAUUACUGUGGCUGCAGCCAGACAGGUCAAAGGGGCUCACACCAAGGCUGAUAAGGUAAAAAAAGCCAUAGAGAAGUGCAUUACCAAAAAAACAAAGUGUCAUGAAGUUAUAGAGCAGCUCAGCAACUGUAAGGAAUAUGUGGAUAAAAUUCCACUAAAAGAGACUUAUUCAGCCGUUCAUGCCUUUAAAAACAAAAACGCUGGCAGUGUAGCUGCGAAGGAUGCAGAAGAAGCAGAAGAAGCAGAAGAAGCACCAGAGGAUGACAUAGACUCUGAUAACCCCUCUGAUAACCCCUCUGAUAACCCAUCUGCUAACCCAUCUGCUAACCCAUCUGCUAACCCACCUGAUAACCCUGAAACACCCUACAUUUAUAUAGGAACGUGUACAAAAUACUUAAUAGGAAAAAUGAAAAAUUUGUUUAAGGUUGGACACUUUGGAGUUCUGAUUAAAAGUGAUGAAGAGAUGGAAAAAAAGUCUCCUUGCACCAAAAUUGACUGUGGUAGAAAAGGCAAAUGUGUUCUUUUGAAAAACACGUUCGUAGCAGUGUGUGAGUGUGAGAAAGGGCACUACGGAGAGAACUGUGAGGAGACCAUAGAAGGUUACAAGGAACACAUACUUAAAGAAAUGCCAAAAAACUGACCUAACAGAAUAUCAUGAAAUGAGCCUUCUGACAUUUUUACAAAUCCUUGUUUUCAUUUCACCUAAAUUCUAAUGAGGUUGAUAAAUGAUUCCACAACACUCCACUAACCAACUAAACCAACUAAAGUUAAUUAAUGAGCGUAACCUCUUGGAAGCAGCUGGAAACUUACUCUAUCAAAAGAGGCAAAACCCAUCAAAUCCGACAACAAAGUUUCAUUAACAUGCUGAGGUCAAGACACUUUUCAUCAAUUCUUACUGUGACAAGAAGUAUUAUAUUUAAACAAAUGUAAUAUUUCAGAGGACCAACAGGUGGAAAUAUCUGCUGGAGUCUGAUUUACAAGAAAAAAUUAAUUGUCCAAAAGUAAAAGACCGUUUUUGAAAUGAUUCACUGAAAAUAUAAAUGAAAAACUGGCCCAAAGGGCAUUUUUAACACAUAUUUGAUUGGCGGACGAAUCUCGUGAAAACAUUAUUUCCUGAGUGUCAGAUUCCAGGUUCAUUUCAUGACAUUUUGAAACCAAAAAAAGACAUGCUUGGGCUCAAACAUUGUUGAAUUUGGUUAAUAUCAGAAAAGUAUAAUUUUUAGCUUAAGUAUAAUAAUAGCAUUGUUCAUAGGAGAGAGCCGGUACAACAGUACCACAACAGAACCUUCCUGUAUGGAAUAUUGUGAUGUCAUAAUAGCACUGUUCAUAGGAGAGAGCCGGUACAACAGUACCACAACAGAACCUUCCUGUGUGGAAUAUUGUGAUGUCAUAAUGACCUUCUGUUUGACCAUGUGAUCGCACAUUUGUUUUUUGCCAACAAGACACUUUUCUUGCAUUGAGCUUCUCUUAACAUUGUGGUUUGCUUAAAUCAAUAAAAUAAAACAUUUCUGGCAUUAUACAUCUGUCUUUUUUAUAUUCUGAGAACUGGCUCAGAGCCAUAACAAUGUCUAAUAAAAAAAAAUAUAACCCUAA